rnacentral:rRNA from 1 species
CGGGAUUGCCUUAGUAACGGCGAGUGAAGCGGCAAAAGCUCAAAUUUGAAAUCUGGCGUCUUCGACGUCCGAGUUGUAAUUUGAAGAAGGUAACUUUGUAGCUGGUCCUUGUCUAUGUUCCUUGGAACAGGACGUCAUAGAGGGUGAGAAUCCCGUGUGGCGAGGAUCCCAGUUAUUUGUAAAGUGCUUUCGACGAGUCGAGUUGUUUGGGAAUGCAGCUCUAAGUGGGUGGUAAAUUCCAUCUAAAGCUAAAUAUUGGCGAGAGACCGAUAGCGAACAAGUACAGUGAUGGAAAGAUGAAAAGAACUUUGAAAAGAGAGUGAAAAAGUACGUGAAAUUGUUGAAAGGGAAGGGCAUUUGAUCAGACAUGGCGUUUGCUUCGGCUUUCGCUGGGCCAGCAUCAGUUUUAGCGGUUGGAUAAAUCCUCGGGAAUGUGGCUCUGCUUCGGUAGAGUGUUAUAGCCCGUGGGAAUACAGCCAGCUGGGACUGAGGAUUGCGACUUUUGUCAAGGAUGCUGGCGUAAU